UACGUAGGGUGCGAGCGUUAAUCGGAAUUACUGGGCGUAAAGCGUGCGCAGGCGGUUUUGUAAACCAGAUGUGAAAUCCCCGGGCUUAACCUGGGAAUGGCAUUUGGGACUGCAAGGCUUGAGUGCGGCAGAGGAGACUGGAAUUCCUGGUGUAGCAGUGAAAUGCGUAGAUAUCAGGAGGAAUACCGAUGGCGAAGGCAGGUCUCUGGGCUGACACUGACGCUCAUGCACGAAGCGUAGGGAGC
rnacentral:rRNA from 1 species